ACAACAUGGUGCCGUCAUAUAUUUGGGCUAAUGAUAAAACUGUUCAAGCAGCUCUUCAUGUUCGAGAGGGAACCAUAAAGGGUUGGGAGAGAUGCAAUAGCUGCUUAAAUUCCACUAAUUACGCACAUGAUAUCACAUCCAGUGUUUCGUAUCAACAAAACCUUACCAAGAAAGGCUUUCAUGCUUUAAUUUACAGGCAUGCAAUAUGCAUAAAGGAUAAAGCUUAGGCAACUUCUGCUAACAUGGUCAUUCAUUUUCUCUCUGUUUCAUUUCCUAAUCAUUGUGCUUUAACUAGAAUUCAAAUUCAUCAAUUCCAUAAUGAAAAUGAUAUUACUGAACUAAAUCUCAUUAGUUUAUGCUUUCAUUUCCCAAUUAUCACACAUUUGAGAUUUUUUUUUAAUCCAUUUACGAGUGUAACCAUCAUAUUUAUCUCAAUCUUGUAAUCUACUGAUCAAAUUCUAAACUUUAAUUUGAAAUUUGAUACAUCUUAGCAUUUAUCAACAUACAUGUAUAAAGGAUGAUCCGGUGUACAAAGUAUUCCACACUUAUGGGGAGAAAGGUUACUCUACUUCUCUGAGAGAUUGUUUCUGUGAUAUUCACAUAUAAGAAAAGAAUGAAUGAUUAUGUGCUUUAAGUGUAAUAAUGCUUGAAUUUUUAAUUUUUAAUUUUUAAUUUCAUGUCUUAUAUAUGCAGUGGUGAUCACGACAUAGUUGUACCACAUGUGGGCACACAACAAUGGAUAAAUUCUCUAAAUUUAACCAUUAAAGAUGAUUGGCGUCCAUGGUUCGUCAAUACUCAAAUUGCAGGGUUGGUUUUCAGAUUGAACUUUUGAUUAUGAUUUUGCAAAUUUACUUCCAUGUAAUUAUAUUGCAUACAACAUUUUGAUGUAUGCAACUGUUAAGGCAAGUAGAAGGCUUUGCUUCGUUCUCCCUUCAUACAUACUUAUGAAAUCUAACAAAAGCUAUAAAAGGAAAAUUUCAUCUUUUUUUUUUAAUAUUUUCUUGAUCAUGAACAGGGAGCAGGUCACACAGCUCUAGAAUACAAACCUAUGCAAUGCCUUGCCAUGGUUGAUAGGUGGUUUGCAGAUUAUCUACUGUAGAAUAUAAACUUCUACCGAAAAGGAAAUUUUUUUUAAUUAGACAUUUCAUUUGUUUUAAUUUGUCAUUUUUGUUGUGAGGGUCCAUUUUUCUGUUUGGUUAUGUGGUCAAUUUGCAUUGCUGUCUCAGGCUUAGCUCCUAAAGAAUGCAUUGUUUUCGAGUUUGACAGGCAUAACAAUCAAAUUUUAUUUGCAAACAAAGAUAA